rnacentral:rRNA from 1 species
UACGUAGGGUGCAAGCGUUAAUCGGAAUUACCGGGCGUAAAGCGUGCGUAGACGGUUACGUAAGUCGGAUGUGAAAGCCCCGGGCUCAACCUGGGAAUUGCAUUCGAGACUGCGUAGCUAGGAUGCGGAAGAGGGAAGCGGAAUUUCCGGUGUAGCGGUGAAAUGCGUAGAUAUCGAAAGGAACACCAGUGGCGAAAGCGGCUUCCUGGUCCAGCAUCGACGUUCAGGCACGAAAGCGUGGGGAGCAAACAGG